AAGCAAACAAUCCAUUUGAAUAACUAAUCAGCGAAAAAUAGCCCUAUCAGAAGCAAAAUGCUUUUUUAAGAAUAGCCAUAAAACAAGAAGAAUUUCAAUAGAUAGAAUGAAAAUUUCCGUUACCAUGAUUUCUCCCCGCCGAAAACAGGAAUCUUUAAAACCGAACUGGAGCGAAUAAUUUAUGCAGAGUCCAAUGUCCUCUUCCAAAUAAUAACAAUUUUGAAAGCAUUAAAACGGACGCGUCUCGUUUCAUAUUUCACAGCAUCACUGCUGCAUCCCUUAUACGCCGCCAAAGUCCAAACAAGCCAACUUCUAACGAAUUGAACAGGAAAAACUAGUUCCCAAUGUCCGUUGGUUCUUGUAGUCAGUCCUCAGAGCACAAUCAACAGCUUGCAACGCGUGGUCCAGGUGUGCAAUACCAUCCGUACCGGUCAGUGUUCCCACCAACAUCACCACACAGACCGGAGAUAAAUCUCAACGCACAGCCAACAUCCGUCACCUUGAUGAUGAUCUGCGUGCGCAGAUGAAAUCCGGAUAUUUUUCCCAAAAACCGGCUUCGCUUCCUUUAUCCUCUGCUGCAGUGCGAGAUGCUGUCCAGUCGGUUUUUCAAAAAAAUCACUAGGGGGAACGAAACGGAUAAAAACCGGAUAUCAACUGCGCCAAAUGCGCGCGCACACACAACACACUCACAGUCAGUGACGACGUCGAGAAAGGGAAGCAAAACCGGAUCGAUGGGCGCAUCCGGGCAAAUUCGCAUGAAAUUAUCUUCCUGAUGAGUGCUGCGCGAGCUAGGAAAUCAGUUCGCUCAAGUCCUUCUAGCGUUCAACAUCAACUUAUUUCUGUGGACCCAAGACACCGGACCGGACCGGGGAAAAUCUAGUUUCGCCUGUGCCUGAUCAAAUGUGACCAUUUCGGAAAUACUGCGUGACAGGAUUAAGUCUAGUAGCCUGUGCAACAAACCAUACCACCAAUGGCAUUCUACUUCAGUGAUGGGAAAGUGAUUCUCAAAAUUCCAAGUGAUGAAACAGUUGUGCUUCGGGAUCAAUUCAAAGCAACGGAAAGUGCCUUAAGUUGAAAGUUCGGAACCAAACCAUGAUUUUAGACUGCAAUGAUAGAAAGUGAUAUCGGCCCCUAAACAGAAACCGGAAAUAUGGACUCAAAAUUUCUGAAAUUUGGCUAAGAUGAUAAUAGUUCGGAAACAAAAGUGAUACCAGUGGAAACAAAUCUCAUCGAGCUAUAUAACAAAAACGACAACCCAGAAAGUGAAAUUGUACUUAAAUAAAUUGACGUUGAACCAACUAGUACGAAACAUGAUGAAGACAGAGGGAUUUGAACGAACUCGUCGCAACGAAACAGCUCCAGUAUGGCGACAUAUACUUCCAGCCCUACCACCGUCACUGUUUAUCUCCAAAGGAACGCUUCACCUCAGGGAAAAGUCACCAUAGACACUGGAUGCAACUUGAAAUAACCUAAAAUGAGAAUGGUUCAAUCAAUAAUUCAUCACAACCGACCUACCACGAAUGAUGAUUACAAUGUUUAGUGACAUUUGUUUCAGUCACCUGACACAUACAGCAAGCAAAAUUCCAUUCCGAAAGCACUCAAUGGAAAACAUUCAGAUCGACUGCACGGAAUGUUUGCCGUAAAUACACAGCCACCGUCCGGAUGGGGGAACCCCUCCGGGACGAUCGCCCUCGCUGCCGCCGUUUUUUGUUAGGAAUUAGACACUUUGUUUUUAAGAAAGAGCUCACAGCUCACCACACUGAUUAGCGUAGAUGCGAAAGAAUAAAAUAUUGAUACGCCAUCUUGUCUUCGCAGCAUUCCCACGCUCGUCGUAACGCACGGUAACGCUACGCGCGACCACGUGCCCUGGCGCACACACAAGCAAAAACAGCCGGCGCUGCCAAUACAGUCGUGCGAAGACUUCUAUUUACUAGCAAAAACAGAAGCUCACUCACAACCAAACGAAGCAUUUCGUAAAUAACACACAUCUCCGCCAGAGGGGGAACCGGUUCAAGUUCAAAAACAUAAUCGAGGGGAAGUUGUCUUUCGGCAGACAGAGAGCGAAAUUCUGCAUCAAAAAAGAGGGGAAGCGUAACGCUGCUACCCGACGUUUCGGUUCGAGGUUAUGUACCAGAGACAUUCAAACUUCUCCCGAGCAAGCAUCAGCGAUAGAGAACAAAUUCCGUCCCGAACGUAAAGCGAACAAUCCAAAACCAACCACGAGGCCAGCAAAAGGAAACAAAAAACAACAAACCAAAGUGAAAUGGAAGUUUAUCGUCGCGAAAGAAACUGUGUGGAAGACGACGGGUCGUUUGUUUUGUGUCGUCGUCGUCGUUGUCGGCGUCGUCACCGACGCCAUCGUGUCACCAAGGAAGAGACAUCCAGGAGGAGGCAACAGGAGGACCAAUCAAAGCUUUCCCAUCGAGCGGAAGCUUUCAGAGAAGUAUACUUUCCGAAUGUUGCAACCAUAGAGAAUCAAAUCCGAACGCAGAGUAAUUACACUUUGUUUUUGAUUUGGUUCAGAUUACAAACCAAUUUAUGGCAGGCAAAGCAAAAACAAAAACAGUACAACAAACAACAGUAAACAAUAAACGUCAAACGUAUGCAUCGCUCCAAUUUUCGUUCUACUUUUGCGAUAAGUAUUUAGUCCUAAGUUUUUGACUAUAGGUUAUAGGUUUCUUUAACUUGAGCUUAGAUUUAACUUUUUUUUAUUAGUCACACCACAACCAAACAAUAGCUAGGAUAAUGAUAGUUCUCUUAAUUAGGAUUCCGUUUUGACAAACCGAAUCUUUUUUCAACUCAAUGCACAGAAAACAUAAACAACAUGUCAAACUUAAGGCAAUAGUAAACAAUAACUGGAAUGUUUUGUUUAUUGUUUAUUAACAGAAACAUACGAAUAAUUUAUUAACAGGAAGAACAAAGUUAUUGGAUUCAAACCUACUAAGCAAGCUUUGGAGACAAAUUAUCAAUCUCGGCUAAUGGGACAUUACCCGGAAUACUGUCAAAAAAUCAUAGAGAAAAUUAAUAACCAAAAACAAUGUUGACAAUACGCACAAACUAAAUGAUGCAAGCUCUUUAUGACAGAAAUUAUUUUCAUUGUCGUUAAAACCAAAAGAACCAAUUUCGGGUAACCGAUUUGGCGUGAAACCCCGUGAUGAGGAUUGUUUAGUUGAAAACUGAAAACUGAUCCAGUUGUUCAUAGGAAAAUUUUAGGAAAAAGAAAAGUAAAACUACUAUUUAGCCGAAAUGUUUACACAUCAUAUUUGUUGAAAACUGAAAAACAUUUAUUUACACAUUUGCGUGACAAACAUAUCUUUAAUCGAAAUACUUUGAAAACACGUCAAACGAAACCAAAAGAAAAAAAAGCUGCUCACUCAAAGUGAAACCACGCAGCAAUAGUUAAAUUUACUUUUCCAAAACCAAAUUGCAUCCAAUCAAGACAAAAAUAGUAAAUGACAAUUUGUUGCUUUCUAACGUUUAGCAAAUACAAAACACAAAUCCAAAACUCGAAGAAAAAGUGAUACUGGAUUAUUGGAAUAAGUCCAAAACAAAACUUUAAGCGAAAAUUUAUUGUUAACUCAUUGAGAUUGUUACACAAAAAGAUUCUAUAUUUUGAAAUAGGCUCUAAACAAGUCGCAAAUAAUGGUAAUAAUUUCUGUAAUAAACACAUUCUGGAACGUUGAAAAGAACAACGAUAAACAAAAAAUGGAACGCCACGUUCCAAAGGCACAAAAAUAAAUCAGACACGAAUUCAAUAAUUUUGCCACACAUUACCACAUGUUACUUAUAGUAAACAAAUCUACACCUAACACACUGAAACAAACAAAUCAUAAUUAUUUUACCAAGUUACUACAUAAAUUCUUCUGUUGGGCAGUUAACCGCACACGAAUGGGGAUUUUUCCCCGAAUUUCCUAGUUUCGGUUUGUUUAUUGUAUUUCUCUCUCAAAUGACCCAAAACUUAGAUACGAAAAAAUAACCGAUCGAUCGCAAGGAAAUCCCGAAAUCCAUUAACCGGUAGGCUUCGGAAUUGGAAUCAACUACAAUUAAUGCAUAUUUUCAUUCGUUUAUUUUUUGUAUUUUCAAACAGCAAGGUUGGAUUGAAAUGAAUAACGGUUCGAAAGAUGAAGCGGGAAAAUCAACGCGAUUCGUGAUAAUUAUGACUUUUGGACUGGGAAACAGCUGUCAAACGAGGGGCGUGCCGAAUAGUUGGUGAUAGGUUUGAUUCGUUGAAAGAUAAAAAAAACGGAAGGGUUCAGUGAACAAGUUAGGACUUUUGUGAGUUAAAAAUGAAACAGUGGCGUCUUCUGGGGUCAGUCAAAUGAAAGCCAAACAAACAAAAUCAUCAAAAUUUCUUCUCUUCCGAAGCGGAAAAGAACGACAAAUUUUGAGUCAAAAACCGAAACAAAAUUCAAAACAUUAGCAGAAAAUUGAAACGAGGGGUUACUCGACGGUAGCUGCACAAAGUGUUGAUUCCGAUCGGCGAUCAAUUCGAUGGAAAGGGUUCUUUUCAAAGGGUUAGCUAUGAUUGAACUCAUUCCCAUCGGAUAACCUUCGAAAUUUGUAUAAAAAUUCAUUUUGUUCGCAGUUUGACCUAAGAAGGAACCUCUCCGCAAGCAAAACAGGAUACCGAUUGGAAACUAAUUAGUCCAAAGCCAAAAAUUCCUUUUGCAAAACCGCGAAAAUGUAAUAUUCAAUCGAACCCUUUCAUAAUUCAAAACAGAGCAGCAAAAUUCAAAACCAAAAGAAGCAAUAAUAUUUUGGGUUCUGAGUUUCUGGCAAGACGUUUAAUUUCGAUCAAAUGAAUUAUUAAUUCCUGGGUUGGGGUUGUGGUGCCGAAUAGUUUCGAAACGGAGGGUGUGAGACUGAUCAAAAUACUAACGAAAUUCCAAAAUAAUAGACCCAUCAUAAAACAGAAAUCUAUUGGCUGUGUUGUUAUUAUUCUCGAUUAACGGCAGCAAAAUUGCUUUUUCGUCCAUUCUUAAUCUUCAAGACAAAAACCAUCAAAGCAGGCUGAAUCGAAGCAAAACCUUAUGCGAGAGCAAAGCAAUGCGGCUUCUGUUCGGACAACAUUCACAUUUCUGACACAAACACAAGCGAAAACCGAAUGGCGAAAGAUAACCGAGCACGUGCUCGCCAAAAUUCAACGCUCGACUGAACGUGAAUCGACCCUCAUGGCAGCGCGGUAAUCCAGGGUGCGUCUUCGAAAUUUAUAGCCUUUGAACGUCGUUCUCGUCGCUGCUUUCGUCGUCGUUCUAAACGUCCCCUUGUGUCUUAAUUAUUUUUCUGGAGAAAACACAUUUAGGCGGUAGCAUCUAAACGAAACAAAUUACACAGAUCGGGCUUUAAAAUAAGACAUUCUGGCAAGCAAGACGAGUUUUGUUACAGUGAAAGAGAUACACCCUUUCAAAUUCAAUCCAAUAUACCAGAACAACCGAAAUUGCGAAACAGUGACGAGAUUCAAAAACAAUAUUUAUAAAACUGGCAACCCGGUUAAUCCAAAUUUGACAACCCAAUUGGCAGGGUUGUCAUUUCCUCAGCUGAGCUCGAUCCGGGGUUAGCGGCAGCCAAGUUCAUGUUUGCUCCAAUUUUGAAUCUGAACACCUCCGUGAUGAAAAUUUCCUACCAAAUGUAGGACCAAGACAAGUGAAAACAAACAAAUCAAUACACUCUGAUUGGCAGCCAUCAGGUGACAGCUCGCAGGGGAAUGACACCUUUCGAAAGGGUACGCCAAAAACUGCAACCAAAUUGUUGCAUUGUUCAAAAUCCAUGAUUCAGCUCUGCUUUGACACCAACUGACGAAACAAGUAGAAAAUCAAUUUUUCUUUUCGAAAAUUGAAGCAGUCUUUCUCUUCGGCUAGGAACUAUAUCGGCAUCUAAUCAAAUUUGCACUAUUAAUUUAAACUAUUUCGUUAAUUAACAUCUAUCUUUCUUCUCGAACUGGGUAGGCGGCUCCGGUGAAACCUCAGAAGGCUGGGAAGCGGACACAUUUCCUUGAUGAUAUUCGGCCGGUUCCGAAGCGAAAGUCUCAUCAGCUAAAUUUCCUUUCUGCAAAUUAUUUCCCAUUUACCGGAAGCAUCAUCGUUUCAAGUCACUCAGAGUGAACGACUGCCAUUUCUCGGUUCAAAAAGCAUGCCCCGGCGCCCAGCACGACACCGGUACGGGAGCAAUACACAUCAAAACGAAAGUCCAAGUGUUUUUACUUUAAAAUUCAUCAUCUGCAACUUUCUUCAAAGUUCGUGUCCCCCAUUUGUCGUCUCCAUUUCUCUCGUCACAUCUUGGUAAUUGACUUAAAUUUAUAUUUUCUACACGCCCUAUCUCUCCCUCUCACUCUCUUUCUGGGCAAUGGCGAGCGCAUCCCUUGCUUUAUUUCCGGCACAAAUUUUUAAGUACAUCAACAAACGACUACCGGCAACCGAGAGUUAAUAAAUUCAAAAAGUUUUCUCGUUUUUCUUUGACAGAGGAAGAAGCUGCAUCGUGCUUGCUGCAGUGGUGCUUCUCCCCUUCAUUUGAUCCAUCUUUCGGAAAGUUUGUCCUCUGAAAACAAGCCAACCAUGUUUAGUUACCGCUCAAAAACACGGACCUAAUUAAGAGGAACCAUCUAGCGAGCGGAUGCGCCACCUACCGAAAAUUCCUCACAUUAUUCGCCCAUUAUCGCAAACGCGUAUUUGGCUUGCUUUGUUUUGGUUCGUCCACUGAACUGAAAUUCAAAAACAGGUCGCACGUCACAGCAUCCCCAACCAACGACACGAACUUUGAAGUGCAACGGUUUUAGGUUCAAAUCCCAAAUUUAAAUGCUUUGCCAUAAACUGGCAACCCUGUCGCCUCAAAAUCUCAACCGAAACCAAAAUAAAAAUAAAAAAACAAA